rnacentral:rRNA from 1 species
UACGUAGGCCCCGAGCGUUGUCCGGAUUUAUUGGGCGUAAAGCGAGCGCAGGUGGUUUAUUAAGUCUGGUGUAAAAGGCAGUGGCUCAACCAUUGUAUGCAUUGGAAACUGGUAGACUUGAGUGCAGGAGAGGAGAGUGGAAUUCCAUGUGUAGCGGUGAAAUGCGUAGAUAUAUGGAGGAACACCGGUGGCGAAAGCGGCUCUCUGGCCUGUAACUGACACUGAGGCUCGAAAACGUGGGGAGCAAACAGG